rnacentral:lncRNA from 1 species
CCAGCCUAGGUGCAGGCAUGUCCUGGGUGCUGGGGGCUUCUUCCAUCAAGGCAGCCCUCCCCUGCCCCAGACCGUGGGGUGCCCACCACCAGCUGCCCCCGUUCCCUCCCUUGCGUCUCCCACAGGAGGAGCGGGGAGGAACCGUGCUCGGGGCAGCCUCCGGAGCGAAAGCAGGGCUUGGGCCUUGUCUGAGUUCGAAUCCCGCUCGGGGCCUCAGCUUCCACAGCGCAGUGAUCCUGAGGGUCAGAGGCCACAGCAUUGUGCCUGCAGGGCUCAGCCUCCCCCCCCCCCCCCCCCCGCCCCACGCCUGAUCAAAGCCCUGGAAUCCAGCAGAGGUUUUCAACGCCUGCUGCCCUCCGCGAAACCCCACAGCUGUUUACAAGCCUGGGGUCUGCUUUCAAUCACUCUUUCUCUGUGGAGAUCAGCUGGGCUCCAGAACGUUUCCGGAUGUGUGAGAAGCAGGCCAGGCGGGCAGGGCCCCGUGCUGGCUCGGCCCCAGGCCUUGCUCAGGGACCUGAGGGAUCCCAGAGCCUCAGUGUCCUCAUCUUUAAAAUGGAGGUCAUGCCCUCUUCUCCCAGAUGACAAGUUCAAGAUGGGUCCCAGGAGUCAAGGUGCAGGCAAGAUUAAGCCUCGCAUGAGAGACAAGUCUUUCAUCUUAGACAGGAGCCACAGUUUGGAGAGGAAGAAGGGGUCAUGAUAAGAAACCUCCAGGAAGAUCACAGUGACCUAUAAUCGUUCGUCCCUCUCUGACCCAUGGCAGGCGGGCUGUGCUGGCCCCCCUCUUCCACAGCUCUCCGAAGACUGUGACUGGGUCUGACCUAUCUUUGUGCCAC